rnacentral:rRNA from 12 species
GACCUGAGCUCAAGCAAGACCACCCGCUGAACUUAAGCAUAUCAAUAAGCGGAGGAAAAGAAACUAACAAGGAUUCCCCUAGUAACGGCGAGCGAAGCGGGAAGAGCUCAAAUUUGAAAGCUGGCGUCUUCGGCGUCCGCGUUGUAAUCUCGAGACGUGUUUUCCGUGCGGCUCUAUGGACAAGUCCCUUGGAAUAGGGCAUCGUAGAGGGUGAGAAUCCCGUACUUGCCAUGGAAGAACCGUGCUUUGCGAUACACGCUCUAAGAGUCGAGUUGUUUGGGAUUGCAGCUCAAAAUGGGUGGUAGACUCCAUCUAAAGCUAAAUAUCGGGGAGAGACCGAUAGCGAACAAGUACCGUGAGGGAAAGAUGAAAAGAACUUUGAAAAGAGAGUUAAAAAGUGCUUGAAAUUGUUGAGAGGGAAGCGUUUGGAGGUUAUAGGUGCGCCUAGGCUUAUACGAUUCUAACGAGCCGUUGUAUGUGCUAGGUGCUGGUCAACAUGGGUUAGCCUGGCGGGAUAACAGCGGGGGUUGAUACCCCGUCUAUGCCGCCGGGUUGAUCAAGGUGUGAAUGGCGCUCUGUCCUUCGGGAACUGCGUCAUCAAGAUGUUGGCAGAAGGCCUUCAAACGACCCGUCUUGUAACACGGACCAAGGAGUCUAACAU